GUGGGGAAUCUUGCGCAAUGGGCGAAAGCCUGAUCCAGCAAUGCCGCGUGAGUGAAGAAGGCCUUCGGGUUGUAAAGCUCUUUUACCCGGGAAGAUAAUGACUGUACCGGGAGAAUAAGCCCCGGCUAACUCCGUGCCAGCAGCCGCGGUAAUACGGAGGGGGCUAGCGUUGUUCGGAAUUACUGGGCGUAAAGCGCACGUAGGCGGUCUUUUAAGUCAGAGGUGAAAGCCCGGGGCUCAACUCCGGAAUUGCCUUUGAAACUGGAAGACUUGAACACGGGAGAGGUGAGUGGAAUUCCGAGUGUAGAGGUGAAAUUCGUAGAUAUUCGGAGGAACACCAGUGGCGAAGGCGGCUCACUGGACCGUUGUUGACGCUGAGGUGCGAAAGCGUGGGGAGCAAACAGGAUUAGAAACCCCGGUAGUCC
rnacentral:rRNA from 1 species